rnacentral:rRNA from 1 species
GACGAACGCUGGCGGCGUGCUUAACACAUGCAAGUCGAACGGAAAGGCCCCUUUGGGGGUCCUCGAGUGGCGAACGGGUGAGUAACACGUGAGUAACCUGCCCUCGACUUCGGGAUAACUUCAGGAAACUGGGGCUAAUACCGGAUAGGAAUCCUUGCUGCAUGGUGGGGGUUGGAAAGCUUCGGCGGUUUUGGAUGGACUCGCGGCUUAUCAGCUUGUUGGUGGGGUAGUGGCUUACCAAGGCUUUGACGGGUAGCCGGCCUGAGAGGGCGACCGGCCACAUUGGGACUGAGAUACGGCCCAGACUCCUACGGGAGGCAGCAGUGGGGAAUAUUGCACAAUGGGCGGAAGCCUGAUGCAGCAACGCCGCGUGCGGGAUGACGGCCUUCGGGUUGUAAACCGCUUUCAGCAGGGGCGAAGCUUGUGGUGACGGUACCUGCAGAAGAAGCACCGGCUAACUACGUG